AUGGCAGGGCCAGCAGGGUCAGGAGGGGAUAGGGAGCUUUUCCCAUCCCCACCUCUCCUCAUUCCCACAGGGCUCCGGACGGUCGUGACCCUGCUGGAGUCCGGGGGGGACCUCCAGCCUCCCGGGGGUUCAAUGGCCCUCGUGUGUCGCGCCUCUGGAUUUGAUUUUGGGAGUUUCUCCGUGCUGUGGGUCCGGCAGAGCCCCGGCAAGGCGCUGGAGUGGGUCGCAGGGAUCCACAGCGGUGGCGGCAGCAAGUACUACGCAUCGUCGGUCAAGGGCCGGUUCUCGAUCUCCAGGGACAACGGGCAGAACUCGGUGACGCUGACCAUGAACAGCCUCAAGGACGAGGAUUCCGGCAUUUAUUUCUGCACCAAAUCUUACUAUGCCAACGAGGGUGAUUACAACGCUUGUGCUCAUGCCGAACGUACCGGUGGUGUUGGUGAUGACCCCGGUGCUCGUUACGUUGAUGAUUUUCACCCGUAG